GCGCGCUGGGAGCCGGCUGCCCGGGCUGCGCCGGGACCCUGGAGGGCAGGCGCAGGCGGGAGCUGUAGCUUCGGGGUGCGGGGUCCGGACCUUGCCGAGACCGGCGUUGGGAGCAGGCAGAACAGACAAGAGGCUCGAUUGUGUCCGCAGCAUUCCGAAUUCUUCAGUGUGGAGGACUCAGGGAGGUCGAAAAGCUCCUUGAGUGCAGCAGUUGGGAGCAUGGUGAAGAGGGGAGGGUCUGGCCAUGUCCAAAAGGUGACCAGACCUGAAGGUCCAGAGCCUCCUCCAUCAUGGGGAACUUAAACCAUCAGCUUCCCUGGCCUGGUGUCCGAUUCCUGACCAUUCCUCGGGUGUCUUCCUGAGAAUCAUAGCCUGAUGCCUGCAGAGACAUUGAAGAUCCAGGGACACACGCAAAUGAAACCCAGCUAUCCUGGCACUCCACUUGCCAGCAAUGUGAUUAUGGGGGAUGCUCUUCUCUCUGAACUCCCGUUUUUGCCUCUGUAAAAUGGAGUUCAUAGUUCUUGCCCACCUCACUGUACUGAUGUGAAGAUUUAAGGAGUUAAUGUACCUUGUGGGCCUUUUGUAACUUACAAACUGCUAGAAAGCCUUUAAGCAUUGCUCCAUUUACAUAAAGUUCAAAAGUAAGCAAAAUUAAACCUGUGCUGUCAGAAGUUA